rnacentral:rRNA from 1 species
AGUAUGGUUGCAAAACUUAAACUUAAAGGAAUUGGCGGAAGGGCACCACCAGAAAUGGAGCAUGCGGCUCAAUUUGACUCAACACGGGAAAUCUUACUAGGUCAGGACACAGGAAGGAUUGACAGAUUAAGAGCUCUUUCUUGAUUCUGUGGGUGGUGGUGCAUGGCCGUUCUUAGUUGGUGGAGCGAUUUGUCUGGUCAAUUCCGAUAACGAACGAGACUCUAGCCUACUAAAUAGACGUUCCGAUCCUCUGCGUCGGACGUUCUUCUUAGAGGGACAAGCGGCGUUUAGCCGCACGAGACAGAGCAAUAGCAGGUCUGUGAUGCCCUUAGAUGUCCUAGGCCGCACGCGCGCUACAUUGAAGGAAUCAGCGUGUGCUCUCCCUGUCCGACAGGAUUGGGUAACCCGCUGAACCUCCUUCGUGCUGGGGAUUGGAAAUUGAAAUUGUUUUCCAUGAACGAGGAAUUCCCAGUAAGCACGAGUCAUCAGCUCGUGUUGAUUACGUCCCUGCCCUUUGCGCACACCGCCCGUCGCUACAUCCGAUUGAGUGAGUUAGCGAGGUCUUCGGACUGGUGCUCGGGUCGCGACUUCCGGGUCGCGCCUGUGUGCCGGAAAGAUGACCGAACUUGCCCACUUAGAGG